UACAAGGUUUUGUAAUCAAUCUGUCUAGUUGUUUAAAAUGUAGUUUCCGACUAUAUUUAACAUGUAUUUGACUAAGUUUUUGGUUAGUUGGACAAGUUGUCAAAACAUAACCUCUAAAUGUUCAACCUGGAAUAUCUUCAAUUCAUUACUUCUUUCGGUGGUGCUUCUUUAGGCAAAAGUGAUCAGGAAUUUAAGUACUAUAUUAUUACAUAUUUUUCAUUAGUAGACGCUAGAAAUUUAUGCCAACAAAAAUUUGUUAGGGGAUCUGCCAUUGUCCUUUAAUGUAAAAAUAUUAAAAUUUUU